rnacentral:rRNA from 1 species
GGACGCAUCACUGGUGUUCGGGUUGUCAUGCCAAUGGCACUGCCCGGUAGCUAAAUGCGGAAGAGAUAAGUGCUGAAAGCAUCUAAGCACGAAACUUGCCCCGAGAUGAGUUCUCCCUGACCCUUUAAGGGUCCUGAAGGAACGUUGAAGACGACGACGUUGAUAGGCCGGGUGUGUAAGCGCAGCGAUGCGUUGAGCUAACCGGUACUAAUGAACCGUGAGGCUUAACCUUACAACGCCGAAG